rnacentral:lncRNA from 1 species
AGAUUUCACGAAACAAACGAAAAGGAAAGGAAAGAUGAAACAUAAAUCAUGGAUCAACUAAGCCCUCUCAGGGACUUUCUUAAAGAGGAACCUCAUGUAAAUACCAUGGAAUAAGGUUUGAUCCUAUUCAUGGAGAUUCCGUAACUAUUCCAAAAAUGGAAAGUUAUAAAUCAUGGAUCAACUAAGCCCUCUCAGGGACUUUCUUAAAGAGGAACCUCAUGUAAAUACCAUGGAAUAAGGUUUGAU